rnacentral:lncRNA from 14 species
CUCAGAGGAUUGAACCUCCAUGAAAUCAAGGAGUACAAGGCCAUAGCAACGUGGCACUGCUGUCAAUCAUCAGAGCCAGCUUCUGGUUCCAUAUAAACAUGGCCUGUGCCAUAACUAGCUGCCAGCAAGUUCGGAAAGUGGUCUGUGGCCAAGGUAAG